AUUGAACGCUGGCGGCAGGCCUAACACAUGCAAGUCGAGCGGUAGCACAGAGAGCUUGCUCUCGGGUGACGAGCGGCGGACGGGUGAGUAAUGCCUAGGAAUCUGCCUGGUAGUGGGGGACAACGUUUCGAAAGGAACGCUAAUACCGCACACGUCCUACGGGAGAAAGCAGGGGACCUUCGGGCCUUGCGCUAUCAGAUGAGCCUAGGUCGGAUUAGCUAGUAGGUGAGGUAAUGGCUCACCUAGGCGACGAUCCGUAACUGGUCUGAGAGGAUGAUCAGUACACAUGGAAAGGAGACACGGUCCAGAAUCCUACGGGAGGUAGCGGUGGGGAAUAUUGGACAAUGGGCGAAAGCCUGAUCCAGCCAUGCCGCGUGUGUGAAGAAGGUCUUCGGAUUGUAAAGCACUUUAAGUUGGGAGGAAGGGUUGUACGUUAAUACCGUGCAAUUUCGACGUUACCGACAGAAUAAGCACCGGCUAACUCUGUGCCAGCAGCCGCCGUAA
rnacentral:rRNA from 1 species